UACGUAGGGGGCUAGCGUUGUCCGGAAUCAUUGGGCGUAAAGAGCGUGUAGGCGGCCCGGUAAGUCCGCUGUAAAAGUCAAAGGCUCAACUUUUGAAUGUCAGUGGAUACUGCCGGGCUAGAGUCCGGAAGAGGCGAGUGGAACUCCUGGUGUAGCGGUGGAAUGCGCAGAUAUCAGGAAGAACACCAACGGCGAAGGCAGCUCGCUGGGACGGUACUGACGCUGAGACGCGAAAGCGUGGGGAGCAAACAGG
rnacentral:rRNA from 1 species